GUGGGGAAUAUUGGACAAUGGGCGCAAGCCUGAUCCAGCCAUGCCGCGUGAGUGAUGAAGGCCUUAGGGUUGUAAAGCUCUUUCAGUGGGGACGAUAAUGACGGUACCCACAGAAGAAGCCCCGGCUAACUUCGUGCCAGCAGCCGCGGUAAUACGAAGGGGGCUAGCGUUGUUCGGAUUUACUGGGCGUAAAGCGCACGUAGGCGGAUCGUUAAGUCGGGGGUGAAAUCCUGGAGCUCAACUCCAGAACUGCCUUCGAUACUGGCGAGCUUGAGUCCGGAAGAGGUGAGUGGAACUCCUAGUGUAGAGGUGGAAUUCGUAGAUAUUAGGAAGAACACCAGUGGCGAAGGCGGCUCACUGGUCCGGUACUGACGCUGAGGUGCGAAAGCGUGGGGAGCAAACAGGAUUAGAUACCCUAGUAGUCC
rnacentral:rRNA from 1 species